rnacentral:rRNA from 1 species
CCCAUUCCGAACCCGGUAGUUAAGCCUUCCAGCGCCGAUGGUACUGCAUUCGUGAGGGUGUGGGAGAGUAGGACGCCGCCGAAC